AAAAGCUCGUAGUUGGAUUUCUGGUGGGAGUGGCCGGUCCGCCGUAAGGUGUGUACUUGGUUGUCUCCCGUCAUCCUUGUGGGAACUGCUCUGGCAUUAGGUUGUCGGGGUUAGGGAACACAUCGUUUACUGUGAAAAAAUUAGAGUGUUUAAAGCAGGCUUAUGCCGUUGAAUACAUUAGCAUGGAAUAAUAAGAUAGGACUUUGGCGUCUAUUUUGUUGGUUUGCACACCAAGGUAAUGAUUAAUAGGGAUAGUUGGGGGUAUUCGUAUUUAAUUGUCAGAGGUGAAAUUCUUGGAUUUAUGAAAGACGAACUUCUGCGAAAGCAUUUACCAAAGAUGUUUUCAUUAAUCAAGAACGAAAGUUAGGGGAUCGAAGAUGAUUAGAUACCAUCGUAGUCUUAACCAUAAACUAUGCCGACUAGGGAUUGGCGGUCGUUCAUUUAUGACUCCGUCAGCACCUUAUGAGAAAUCAAAGUCUUUGGGUUCCGGGGGGAGUAUGGUCGCAAGGCUGAAACUUAAAGGAAUUGACGGAAGGGCACCACCAGGAGUGGAGCCUGCGGCUUAAUUUGACUCAACACGGGGAAACUUACCAGGUCCAGACAUAGUAAGGAUUGACAGAUUGAGAGCUCUUUCUUGAUUCUAUGGGUGGUGGUGCAUGGCCGUUCUUAGUUGGUGGAGUGAUUUGUCUGGUCAAUUCCGUUAACGAACGAGACCGCCGCCUGCUAAAUAGUGCUGCGCAUGCUUCGGCAUGGGCACGUAGCUUCUUAGAGGGACUUUCAGUGACUAACUGAAGGAAG
rnacentral:rRNA from 1 species